ensembl:snoRNA
AGCUUAAUGAUGACUGUCUUUGUGAUUGAAAAAGCAAUGUGAAAAACACAUUUCACCGGCUCUGAAAGCU